rnacentral:rRNA from 1 species
AUUGAACGCUGGCGGCAGGUUUAACACAUGCAAGUCGAGCGGAGAGAGGUAGCUUGCUACUGAUCUUAGCGGCGGACGGGUGAGUAAUGCUUAGGAAUCUGCCUAUUAGUGGGGGACAACAUUUCGAAAGGAAUGCUAAUACCGCAUACGUCCUACGGGAGAAAGCAGGGGAUCUUCGGACCUUGCGCUAAUAGAUGAGCCUAAGUCGGAUUAGCUAGUUGGUGGGUAAAGGCCUACCAAGGCGACGAUCUGUAGCGGGUCUGAGAGGAUGAUCCGCCACACUGGGACUGAGACACGGCCCAGACUCCUACGGGAGGCAGCAGUGGGGAAUAUUGGACAAUGGGCGCAAGCCUGAUCCAGCCAUGCCGCGUGUGUGAAGAAGGCCUUAUGGUUGUAAAGCACUUUAAGCGAGGAGGAGGCUACUUUAGAUAAUACCUAGAGAUAGUGGACGUUACUCGCAGAAUAAGCACCGGCUAACUCUGUGCCAGCCGCCGCCGUAAAAC